rnacentral:tRNA from 1 species
GGCCCCAUAGCUCGGUAGGUUACAACAGCAACCCGGAGAGAUGCAGACGUGGGUUCGAACCCCACUGGGGCGA